UGCUGCUUUACCUUCCAGCUCCUUGCUGACCCUUCCUGUUCAUUUCUGUUCCUUUGUGCUCCUUCUCCUUCUCCUACUUUACCUUUUGUGCUCCUUGCUGUCCCUUCCAGCUCCUUGCUGCCCCUUUCUGCUCCUUGAUGUCCCUUCCUGCUCAUUUCUGUUCCUUCUCCAUUUCUUACCUUACCUUUCUGCUCUUCAUGUAGGCUGUCUCCCCC
rnacentral:lncRNA from 1 species